rnacentral:rRNA from 1 species
UACGAAGGGGGGCUAGCGUUGCUCGGAAUCACUGGGCGUAAAGCGCACGUAGGCGGAUUGUUAAGUCAGGGGUGAAAUCCUGGAGCUCAACUCCAGAACUGCCUUUGAUACUGGCGAUCUUGAGUCCGGGAGAGGUGAGUGGAACUCCCGAGUGUAGAGGUGAAAUUCGUAGAUAUUAGGAAGAACACCAGUGGCGAAGGCGGCUCACUGGUCCGGUACUGACGCUGAGGUGCGAAAGCGUGGGGGAGCAAACAGG